AGGGUCUGCCCUGAACUAAGGAACCUUCUCGAUCAAAAGCCAUUCCUCUCAGUCAUGCAUGCUAAAGUACAUGGAAUAAAAUGUGAGGUAAUUAAAAUUGUUGUAUUGUCUCUUCUUACUUAAACUACACUUGUUCUGUUAUCUGUAGAAAAAAACUGCAUUUCCUAAACUAGUUCUCCCCAAUAGAUCAAAUGGAGUGGUAGCUAUCAAACUGGUGCUGCCUAUAGCAUGGGAGAGGAAGUGGAGCAGGCAAACACCUUUUUGUCAAGGAUUGCUAUACGCACAAAGUUCAUGUCUAAAGCCAGUCGUACAGACAUGCUCACACUGCAGUGCAUUGGGUGGAACAAAAUCAAAGUCCAAAAAAUGUGCAAAACUCUUUGCACAAGAUAUAGGAAGACGACAGCAGAAUCUCAAAAAGGAGAAAGAAAGCCUUGAGGACAUGAAAAGUGAACUGGCCGUGGAUAAUGAAGUCAUCAAGCAGUGGGUCACAGAAGUGCAGGAGUGGGCCCACACUGCAACAUCUGGGGACAACAAUGUUCCUGUCGAACCAUUAAUGAACACGAUUGAGGAGAUGGCUGUCAGCAUCAAACAACGACGUCAUCAUCUUUACUGACACACCGGAAACCCUUGGAAUCUUUCAGAAGAGGGGAUUCAAGGGCUUCACUGUAUGUUGCAGAGAAGACUAGACCAGCUUACAGCUCACAGGGACACUCUAAAAAAGAGAUAUCAAAUGAUAGACAACAUGACAACUUGCAGUACUGUGGAAGAUGAAUAUGUAAGCUGUCUGGAAGACCUUCUUUCCAGCAGUUCUGAU